rnacentral:rRNA from 1 species
CCUACGGGGGGCAGCAGUGAGGAAUAUUGGUCAAUGGGCGCGAGUCUGAACCAGCCAAGUAGCGUGCAGGAUGACGGCCCUAUGGGUUGUAAACUUCUUUUAUAAAGGGAUAAACUGAGGCACGUGUGCCUUUUUGCAUGUACCUUAUGAAUAAGGAUCGGCUAACUCCGUGCCAGCAGCCGCGGUAAUACGGAGGAUCCGAGCGUUAUCCGGAUUUAUUGGGUUUAAAGGGAGCGUAGGCGGGCUGUUAAGUCAGUUGUGAAAGGUCGCGGCUCAACCGUGGAAUUGCAAUGGAUACUGGGAGGCUUGAGUGCAGUUGAGGUAGGCGGAAUUCGUGGUGUAGCGGUGAAAUGCUUAGAUAUCACGAAGAACUCCGAUUGCGAAGGCAGCUUACUAAACUGCCACUGACGUUGAGGCUCGAAAGUGUGGGUAUCAAACAGGAUUAGAUACCCGUGUAGUC